rnacentral:rRNA from 1 species
CCUACGGGUGACAGCAGUGGGGGAUAUUGCACAAUGGGGGGAACCCUGAUGCAGCGACGCCGCGUGGGUGAAGAAGCGCCUCGGCGCGUAAAGCCCUGUCAGCAGGGAAGAAAAUGACGGUACCUGAAGAAGAAGCCCCGGCUAACUACGUGCCAGCAGCCGCGGUAAUACGUAGGGGGCAAGCGUUAUCCGGAUGUACGGGGUGUAAAGGGGGCGGAGGCGGGGGUGCAAGCCAGGAGUGAAAGCCCGGGCCCCAACCCCGGGACUGCUCUUGGAACUGCGUGGCUGGAGGGCAGGAGGGGCAGGCGGAAUUCCUGGUGUAGCGGUGAAAUGCGUAGAUAUCAGGAGGAACACCGGUGGCGAAGGCGGCCUGCUGGACUGCAACUGACGUUGAGGCCCGAAAGCGUGUGGAGCAAACAGGAUUAGAUACCCCAGUAGUC